rnacentral:rRNA from 1 species
GAUGAACGCUGGCGGCGUGCCUAAUACAUGCAAGUCGAGCGAACGGACGAGAAGCUUGCUUCUCUGAUGUUAGCGGCGGACGGGUGAGUAACACGUGGAUAACCUACCUAUAAGACUGGGAUAACUUCGGGAAACCGGAGCUAAUACCGGAUGAUAUUUUGAACCGCAUGGUUCAAAAGUGAAAGACGGUCUUGCUGUCACUUAUAGAUGGAUCCGCGCUGCAUUAGCUAGUUGGUAAGGUAACGGCUUACCAAGGCAACGAUGCAUAGCCGACCUGAGAGGGUGAUCGGCCACACUGGAACUGAGACACGGUCCAGACUCCUACGGGAGGCAGCAGUAGGGAAUCUUACGCAAUGGGCGAAAGCCUGACGGAGCAACGCCGAGUGAGUGAUGAAGGUCUUCGGAUCGUAAAACUCUGUUAUUAGGGAAGAACAUAUGUGUAAGUAACUGUGCACAUCUUGACGGUACCUAAUCAGAAAGCCACGGCUAACUACGUG